AAUGAUAAACCAAACUAGUUGGGAUCGGAUCUACCCAGCUUAUUCAAGAUUAGCGGUUCAGCCUAGAACUCUCAAUUUGGGCCCAAUCUGAACAAUCUUCUUCAUCUAGGCGGAGCUUUGAUUAUUUGUUCCCAGCCGAAUAAAGGUUUGUUGUUUAGAUAUACACAUAUCGAUGCAGCCAAACAAACCGUAUUUAGUUCCACAGAGGGAGGGACGGAGCAAGAUGCUGGAACAAUGUCAUCGGAUCCGCUAUCAAAUUGAAUACCAAAACCGAAACUGGACUUCCAUGCUCCGAAAGCUCAAGUGCAAUGGCAAGUUUUCUUGCCUUUUUUUCUGAUAAUGGAAAAGAGGAACAAGAUAGUAAAGCCUUAGAAAGUGCACUUGGCGGAAAGAAAAAUGAGUUUGCGAAGUGAAACAAAGAGAUUAAGAGAAGAGACGAGGCAGGUGGUGGCGGUGAUGCUGGAGGAGGAGGAGGUUGAUUUGGAUUGGGGGUGACAGUUGGGGUUGUCCAAUGGUGAUCAUUUUUGGCAAGAAGUGCAACAGACAAGUCUUGCUGUGCUUGGCAUUAUCAUCAUGGUACACACUUUUCUUCAUAGUCUUGCUGUGCUUGACAGUAUCUCAUAGUUGCAAAAGGCGAAGCACUUCUUGCUGUGAUCUUCAAUCCAUUGUUGUAUGCUUUGCGAGGAACAAGAAACAGAUUCGGUUCCAUAACCUCAAGGUUCCUUCAGAAGGCCUCUCUUGAUGGUCCCGCUAAUUUUGAUGAUGGGUCAAAGAAGGAAUUCUAUUGGCAUCCCUCAGCUAAAGAGAGAGUUUUGAAAAGUGGGGAAGCGAUUAAUGUUCUGGUUUCAGGUUUGAAGUUUACUUAAAAUUCCUUAAUGUUAUAAAUGAAAUGAACAAUAUCAAGUUUUGUAAACUUAAUAAGCUAGGAUGAACAAGACCAGGCUAAGGAGUAAGGAGCAGCUUUUUGGUAUUGUAGAGAGUGCUUGCUUUUUGUAACUGGUAUUACUUGAUUUUGAAAUUCUAAUUUCCAUUCACAUGAAAUUGGAAUGAAGUAUUCUUAUCUAGUGAGAAACCUAGGCCAAAAUACACCUUAGCAAAGUCCAUAUGUAUGAACACUGGAGGAAAAGCUUGCCUUCUGUAAUGUUCUUAUUUGAUUGUUGAAACGUUAACGCUUCAUCAUAUAAAUUUAGAAAUAAGAAUUCUUAUUGAUCAGA